rnacentral:rRNA from 1 species
AGAACGAACGCUGGCGGCAUGCCUAACACAUGCAAGUCGAACGCUCUUGGGGCUUCGGUUCCAAGGGAGUGGCGCACGGGUGAGUAGCGCGUGGGAACCUGCCCUGUUGUGGGGGAUAACCGAGGGAAACUUCGGCUAAUACCGCAUAAGCCGGUUGUCUUGAAAGAGAUGGCCGGGAAAGAUUUAUCGCGACAGGAGGGGCCCGCGUCGGAUUAGCUAGUUGGUGGGUAACGCCACCAAGGCAGUGAUCCGUAGCUGGUCUGAGAGGAUGAUCAGCCACACUGGGACUGAGACACGGCCCAGACUCCUACGGGAGGCAGCAGUGGGGAAUAUUGGACAAUGGGCGAAAGCCUGAUCCAGCAAUGCCGCGUGGGUGAAGAAGGUCUUCGGAUUGUAAAGCCCUUUCGACGGGGACGAUGAUGACGGUACCCGUAGAGAAGCCCCGGCUAACUUCGUGCCAGCAGCCGC